CCCACACAUAGCGUACAAUCACUCCCCUCUGCCUGGGAGAUAAUUGAGUCAGAUACUGUAUUAACUCAAUUAUCUCCAGGCAGAAAAACACACAUUUUACAAAUUCCCCAAAGUACCCCAAAAACACAUAAUAUCCCCACAAAUGUUACAUCCCCUGAUAGCCCUGAUCUGAGUGACCACCAUAUCCAAAGAUCACCCAGAUCAGUUCCGGGGUUCAGAAAUUUUAUGGAAGUCACAUUUUAACCGACUGCACGCAUGGUCCCAUG